rnacentral:rRNA from 1 species
ACACGACUACAUUAGAUACCCGCGUAGUCCCAGCCGUAAACUAUGCGCGUUAGGUGUACUGGUGACCACGAGUCACCGGGGUGCCGAAGGGAAACCGUGAAACCCCGUGCCGCCUGGAAGUACGGUCGCAAGGCUGAAACUUAAAGGAAUUGGCGGGGAGCACCACAACGGGUGGAGCCUGCGGUUUAAUUGGACUCAACGCCGGAAAUCUCACCGGAUAGGACAGACAUAUGAUAGUCGGGCUGAAGACUCUACUUGAUGAUCUG